rnacentral:lncRNA from 1 species
AGAAUUAAGGAUCUGCUAAAGUACGGAAAUGGCUCAUGCCUUCCAUCUGGUUUAUGUGAGUGACUAUGCUAUUGCUAUUAAUCCUGAACUUUCAUGAUUUACUUGUUUUCUUUUGGACUUCCAGGUUGACUCCUGCCCCCGCCUCAACCCUUGGACUGGCACCCUCUACAUCCCAGCCCCAAGCUUCCCGGAGAACCUGAGUCGCCUGUUCUUUGGAUGCCCUGAAGGAAAAGAGACUGGCUACAACAAAAGACAUUGAAAACUUGCCAUGUUUUGCAGAUGAGCCCCUGAAGCUGCAGUAGUGACUCUCGGCCCAUUUGGGAGAAAUAUGCUGAGAGAGACAAUGUGACUGACUACCUGACGAAUCUCUUUCCUUGAGCACCAAGAAAUCAUCACAGCUUCAAGCAGUUAUCAUACUAUCAGGACCAGAGACAGAGAGAGAGAGACUAUCACUACAAGCAAAAAACAAAUACUGGAAUGAAGAUCCCUGGAGAGCUGCAGCUGAAGGAAACUCUUGGCUACUUCGACAUAAGAGGCAAACCAUCAAUGGGAAAAUGAGCAGGAUACUCUGUGGACUUUCUUUUUGUCCUUGUGGAUUAUUUCCAAGUUAUGGGAUCUUUAAUUCUCAAAUGAGUGGGAGAGUUGUUUGAGUAAAGAGUUCAGGAUCAGGCUGUAGCUUAUUAAAUAAAAAAGUUAGACAAUCAAGUUGUCUAGUGUUG